CUUUUCUCACCAGACGGUCGUUCGAUACGGUUCUCUUAAUGAAACACUCCCGUGUAUUGCACGGAUUCACACGUUUUGCCGUCAAGAAAAGGUCGUGUAACCCUUGGCACGUUUCACGGUGGUGCCACAAACGAAUCAACGGAGCGAGUCCCGAUCUGGUCGGCCGGGCGGAACAAAUGGUAAUAUGUAUGCGAUUUCAUUAAUAAUUGGCCGAUACCGCGUUAGUUUGUUAGUUAGUUUUCGAGGUAAUUCAGUGAUUUGAAAUGUUUUCUUUUUCGUAUGUUAAAUCCUUCAGGUAUACUCAUGGGAAUCAAUCGGCUAGAUUUGUGCGUCCGUCUCAUUAUGCUAAUCCCCGCGUUCCACAUCCUGUGUGCGAUAGGCCGAACCCCCCGCAUUUUGUUUUUUUUUUUUAAAUUUUAUAUCCCCUUUGAGUGCUAGGUUUCGCAACCACGCGCGUGAGCAUUUAAAAAAGGAAUACACACAUAGAUAUAAAAUAUAUAUAUAGAUCGAUUUUCCCCGUUUCGCGAUCCAUAAUCGGACGCAACCCGCAGGUUCGCCCGUAAGGCCACCAAAACCACGGACCAGUCAACAUGGAAUAAAAAGCGCUUCAGCUACCGUACCCGGUGGUAAUUUGUAGGUGACCCGGCAACCGCGCA